rnacentral:rRNA from 1 species
UACGUGAGGGACCAAGCGUUGUUCGGAUUUACUGGGCGUAAAGGGCUCGUAGGCGGCCAACUAAGUCAGACGUGGAAAUCCCUCGGCUUAACCGGGGAACUGCGUCUGAUACUGGAUGGCUUGAGAUUGGGAGAGGGAUGCGGAAUUCCAGGUGUAGCGGUGAAUGCGUAGAUAUCUGGAGGAACACCGGUGGCGAAGGCGGCAUCCUGGACCGGCAUUGACGCUGAGGCGCGAAAGCCAGGGAGCAAAGCGGG